UUUUUUUUUGUAUAUAAAAAUUUAGAUGAUGAAAUAUUUAUUCAAAUGAAAAAAAAUUAAAAUAAUUAAUCAAAUUAUUUUUAUGAGAAAUAUGUGACAUCGAUUCACGUGUAAAUUAAUAAUUGAGGGAGACCAGGGAUUACUGCUUUUCGUGUAUCUUUCUUACUGCAGUUCUAUACAUACAUUGCGCUAGGGGAGAGCACGGUGCGGAUCGGUGCGGUUUUAGGGUAAAACCGCAACCGGAACCGCAAGUGUUCGGUUUUUAAAAUUGAAAACCGCAACCGCAACCGAACCGUCGGAUCGGUUUCGGUUUCAAAAAACCUCGGUUCGGUUUCAAACGGUUCGGUUUCGGUUUUAGAACCGCAAUAAAUAAAAAUAAGAAACAUACUUUCAAAUUAAAUUAGUAGAUAACUUAUGUUGGUUCGAUAUAUACUUCAAAUUUAAUAACGAACCACAUUAUUAUAUUAUCGGAUUUAAACAAGAUCAUAUUACAAAUGAAACUUAUAUAUUAUGUGGGGAUCAUGAUGGAAGUAGAUUAGCGACUCAAUUGUAGUGAUACUAAAAGAAAGUGCUCGGUGGAAGAACUAGUUCGGAUAAAACAAUUUUAACGAAACAACCUCAGCACAUUUCAACCCCACUUCCUAGUAACCUCCCCCGUCUCAUUUUACUUUGUUCAUCACAUUUAUAUGUUAUAUAUAAAUAUUUAUAUAAAUUAUGUGUAAUAUACAUAUAUAUAAAUAUAAAUAAUAUUUAUUUUAAUAAUCGGUUCGGUUCGGGUUUUUGCGGUUCGGUUUUGGCCUAAAACCGGAACCGCAACCGUUAUAAUCGGUUCGGUUUUUAAAUUUUCGGUUUCGGAUCGGUUCGGUUUUAGGCGGUUCGGUUUUUAUCGGUUUUCACCGGUUUCGGUUACGGUUUCGGUUUCAAUUCGAUUUUUUGCUCACCCCUACAUUGCGCACAUAUAGUCGCUGCUGUAAUAGAAACUAGUUUCAAACAUAUCCUUGAUUAAAUAUGUGAUACCACUUGCCCUGCACCGCAACAAACAAGACUAUUUAUGAUGGACAACUUACGACGAAUUUGCUGAGCGCUUUAACCUACGACGGAUAUGUGAUUUCUGUCGUAUAAAAUUACGACGGCAACACCUUCUGUCGUAAAGUCACAUAUAUAAAUUUUUUUGAUUUAAAAGUAAUCGAGAAUAUUCCAUCGAUACAAACGGCGUCGUUUUAGUGCUGGAAUUUCCAUCGUAAGUUUAACAAUAAAUUUUCUGAAAUUAUGGGCCCCAUCAUAAUAACCUACGACGCCUGUUAAUACUUGCGACGCUAGAAUAAACUUACGACGCUAGUGGAAAAUUGUGACGGCUUUUCGAACUUUCUACUUGAGACAAACGACGGAUAAUUUCCGUCGUAAAAUGUAAACUUACGACGGAUAUUAGGCUUAUUUUCUGUCGUAAAUAGCCCUGUUUGUUGUAGUUCUAAUUAUUAUAACUCACAUAUUUAAAAAUUUAUGAAUAGAAUUGUCCAGGUUUGCAUCAUUUAUAAACCGUGAACUUGAAAAUAUAUAGCAUUUGUCGUGGAUCAACUUUCAAACUCAAAGAAAGGAAUGGAGAGAUGGCACAUAUUAUCAUCCAAAUAUCAGGUGUGUAGAGAGAAAAAGUUCAGACAAAGUAUAUACAUUAUGGAGCAUAGAGUGAAGGAGUGAUUAACUUAUUCAUUAUGGACUGUUGAUCAAGCUACAGAUAUAUUUACAAGGAGUUAUACAAAAGAAUAACAAUAAACACCUUUGAGACUAUGAGAAAACCAUGUUAAUAUGUUCGGCUGAAAAACAAAACAUAUAUCUUGUUAGCUUGAUAUGAGAAGACAGCAACGUACAUCAUUUAUCAUUUUCUGCAUUGUGCUCUAAUCGGUUCUGUGUUGCACUUGAAUCAGAUGUUUCGUUUGUAAAUAAUUAAUUACCAUUAUACUGUAGUCAUGUUGAUUGGACUGGUUGGAAUAAUACACUUUGCAGAUAAUAUUUUUUUUAACAAUUGAACCUGAAUUAUGUAAUAAUCCAAGUAAUAAUGUAAUUGAAAUAUGUAAUAAAUUUACACACAAGAUCACAUGUCAAUUAUUAUGAUCAAGAUCACAAGAUAGGGCGGUCGGUUGUGGUGUACCAAACAACAAUCACGGACUUAAGUACAUAUAUUUUUAUUUAAAAUUAAUUUCUUAUUAUUUUUUCGCAGAAAGCAUAACCGACCACAUAAAACGGCCACAGAAAACGGCCGGUUAUGCUUGUGCCAUGUCAUACUCAUAACCGACCGUCGUAUACGGUCGGUUUUAUAUGUUGCCACAUCAUGCAGAACGUCGUCGUUCAGUUACUUUGACGCGUUAUAACCAACCACGCGACCGUCGGUCGGUUUUAGUAUUGCAAUGUCUGGGCGGUCGGUUUUGACCUGUUUUCUUGUAGUGUCUGCUGCUUCUGCGAAAAGAAAUUAUUACUAUAAGAAAAGCCUGUAAAUUCGACAGGAAAUUUUUUGUCAAAAUUUAGGCCAAAAAACUAUACCUCCCACCAAAUUUGGCCAAAAAUUCUGAAUUCUACAUCUAGACAUCUAUAUUAGCUACACCAUAUUCAGUAGAAAUUAUAACCUCGUCGGCCAUUUCAUCAUAUUCACCUAGCUAGGGCUACGAGUUAUGUUUUCAUUAAUGACGGCAAAUUGGUCACUUGCAUUCUAAAUUGAAGAUUAAUAAAGGGAUGAUUGUUUGUAGUGUAUAUAAGUUCGGAUAUUGAGGUGGAGUUAUUGUAAUGGCCUUUAAGGCAUUGCAUGAAGGGUUUGAGAAAUCAUCAUUUAAAGUUAAAGAUGCCCAUGAGAAUGUUUUAAAAAAAAAUAAAAACAGUGUAAAUUAAGAUAAAAACCCUGCAGAUGAGCCCCGUGCUCUAAAGGAUCCCCUGCACAAGUCAAAGACGCUGAGAAGAUGAAGCUACCAGAAGAUGAGGCUGGUUAGGAGUUUGAAAUUGUUCUUCUGACAAUUUCAAAUUUAUUUUAUGAUAUUUAAAUUUUUUUUGGGAUCGACAAUGAUUUUAAAAUUUGGGAGAAGUGAAUAGUUUAUAUAUGGACUAUGUUGGAAUCCAUUUUGGGGAACGGUAAGAAAUAUAUAAAAUAAUAAAAUUGUUUCAAUAAUGAUAAUUUUUAAUAAAAUGGUAUUCUAUAAUAAGAUAAAUAUAACUCGAAAAUAAAAUAUUAAAUGAAAUAUGAUCAUAUUUUUUUUCUUCAAAUUACUGAAACACAAAGGAUAUUUAAUAAUAUAAUACUAACUAAUUAUAGUAAAAAAAUUAUAUAUUUGAUGAAAAGUUAAAUAGAUAAAAAAAAUUGACGAAAAUUAUCAAGAAUUGAAUAUAUCUAGGCCGAAUAUUAUGGGCAAAGUUUGAAAACACAUGGAAAACUUUUGAUAAAAGGUCAUGAAAUUAACAGAGAACAUGUGUUUUGAAUUACUUUAAAAAUGAAAUGCAACUACAAAAGUAUAACACCAGAGUAAUGUAUAGAAUAACUUAAACAAACAAGUCGGGCAGAAAAAAUCUACGUGCAAAAUCACCUAUAAAACAAAAACAAAUCUUUGAAAUUCUUACAAAUAUUAAAAUAUUUUGUAACACACCUUAAAACAUGUUACUCUCUUCGUCCCACCAGAUUCUUUAGAAUAUUGAGCACCGGACUUAGCACUCAUUUUACGGCUCCGAUUAAUUAUGUUUCUAUAAAUUAUUUUAAAUUAUUAUUAUUCUUAAUAAAAAUAUAAUAUUUAAAUUUUUAUUAUAAAAAGAAAAUUUCAAAAAUAAGUUAUAGACUAUGCAAAGUUUAAAAUGCGUUUGGAGCAGUGAAAAAAUAUGUAAAAAAAUAUGUGCUACAGAAAGUUUAAAUUAACACCAUGUAAUAAAUACCCCAUAUAUAAAAGGAGACAAAUGCUUUGGGAUUUUAAUAGUAUAGAUGAGUCUCCAAUAGCACAUCACAUCAUUGGAUAAUUAUCAGGGCAAAAGGGGAAAAGGGGGCUAGAUCUCUUUGGAAUUUAACAGUACAGUAUCAAUGAGUCUCCAAUAGCAUCAUCAUUCGAUAAUUAUCAGGGCAAAAGGGGGCUAGAUCUCUUUGGGCUAAAAGGGGCUAGAUCUCUUUGCAAUUUUAAUAGUAUAGUAGUAUAGAUCAGUCUCCAAUAAUUAUCAGGGCAAAAGGCUAGAUCUUCGGAAUUUUAAUAGUAUAGUAUAGAUCAGUCAUCAAUAGCAUCAUCAUCUGAUAAUAAUCCGGGCAAAAGGGCUAGAUCUUUGGAAAAGAAGGUACGAUUACAGUAUUAGGCUUUCUAUAUAUACUAGAUUUGAAAUGAUUUUUAUGCUCUUGAUAGCCAAGAUUUGUAUGUACAAGAAGAUCUGUAUGGUCUUAGUAAUUUCAUGUGAUUUGUAUGUAAAAACGAUUGUCUUGUUCAAUUAAAUUAAUAAUUUAUUGAUUUCUAUAUAUACAAGACUCUAAUCUUUGAGAUUGAGGAUGACAUCAGGUGUGCUGUAUGUAUUCAUUAUUUUACCUAUAGAUCUUUGCCAGAUCUUUUGUAUUCCAGCCUAAUUCAGAUCUCUGCUGCUGAUCUUUGCAAUUUCUGCUUUGUUUCCUUAACUUAGGGUUACAAGGAAUUUACUGCAUCAAGCACAAUGAGUCAGCAGCAAAAAAGGGUCAAAUUAGAGGUAAGAAUUCACCUUUGUAAAACAAAUUAAAUAUGUAACUUUGAAUAUAUGUAACUAUCACAAUUUUAUUGAUUGUUUUUGUUUAUUGAAUUGCAGGAAAACUAUGAUAUAAUUUCCCAACUCCCCAUGGAUCUUCUUUCGCAGUUGGUGUCCUUGUUGCCACUAAAGGAGGCACUCAAGACCAGUACUUUGUCGAAAACUUGGAAGACGAUAUGGACUACUCACACUGACAUUGUAUGUGAUAUCAGUAGUGUACUUGGAGUCUUGCGUGACGAAUCUGGAAACAUAUCUUUGAAUGUAAGAGAGGAGCAUAGGAAUCAAUUCAUAGAACGUGUCUGUCACUUGAUGCAGCAGCGUUUGAUGGGUCCUAAUAUGAGAUCAAUAGUGAUCAGCUUUCCUCUCUCUCGAAAAGAUGGUCCUCAUGUUGCAAGAUGGGUGGGUGAUGCCGUCAUGAAGGGAGUUCAAACAAUCAUUCUGAAUUUAAAUGGAGGUUCUGGUAUUGUUUCGUUUCCUUUCUCGAUUCUUCGUGCCCCUGGUCAAGCUAGUAAAGUGAGGCAACUGGGGUUAAACUCGUGUAGCCUUAAAUCUCUUUCGGUUAGAAAUAGGACUCUUGAUUCGCUUGUCAACAUUCAUUUGCAAAGUGUGAAUCUCACUGAUAAGCAAAUGGAUGUUAUACUUAGCAAGUGCUUUUUUCUAGAGAGUUUGAUUUUGAGGAAGUGUGAUAAGUUGGCAAGAUUUAAGCUCAGUCGAAACCCUAGGUUGAAAUUAUUGGAUAUCAGAUCCUGUUUGAGAUUGAAGAGUAUUGAGCUUUAUGCCGAGAGCCUUCAAAUUCUGGAAUUCGACGGUCUAUUAGACCACUUUUCGUUUGAUCACGUGCCGAAGCUGGUUCAGCUGUUUGCAUGUGUAUAUGGAGAGAAAUUUGUACAAUUUUCAACUUAUGCCCUCUCCAGGAUUGCUGUUGAUGCACCUCUACUACAGACUCUCACCCUACAAGCUCGCCGGGUAAGUGAAAUUGACAACAAACAAAAUUAUUAUUCAGUUUAAAAAUUAUGAUUAUAACAAAUUAAUAUAUUUCUAUUUCAGGUACUGCCCCUGCCAAAGGGAGUAUUUACAUUUACUAACAUAAAGUAUUUGGUACUUAAACUUAAUCCAUGUGAUGGUGAAGACGAGCUCGACUGGAUUCGCUACAUCUUGAAGGCAUUUCCUUCUUUGAACAGACUAGAAAUAGAUGUGAGUACAAAGAUUAUCUAUUUUUCAUUGUAUAUGCAAAUGAAUUUUAUAGAACUGAAUGAGAUAAGAUGUUAUUGUGUUAAUAUAACUUUUCUUCUGCUUGAAGUUUUCACUAGUCGUCCCAAGGAACGCCGGAUCGACCAACCAGAGUCAUAGAGGACUAGCUGAAGUGAGUCAUGAGAAUCUCAGAGAACUAGAGGUGACGGGGUAUUAUGGUGGCCCAGGCCAGGUUGAGGCUGUGAAGCAUCUGGUUGAUAGGGCAUUCAAGCUUGAUCUUCUUGUAAUCAGUUCACCGGCGAAAUUGUACGUCGGUUUGAGAGAGUCCAUCCGUGUGGAUUUACGUAAUGACAACAAAUCAAGCUCAGAGAAGAUUGAAGAACUCCGUUCUGUACUUCCAAACUCCCUUCGCGUUGAUUAUUCUAACGUCUGACUUUUAUCUUUAUUUGGUAGUAUACACCGUUUGUGAUUGAUAUUUGAGGAUUGAGGUACUUAAUAAAAAUGUUAUGAUAUAUAUUUAUACUACCAUAAAAAGUUAUGGUAGUAUACACCCAUUGUGAUGGAUAUUUAGAUUUUUACAAUGAAUUACUGUCAUUUACUUCACUUAAUCUUUGGGUUAAUAUUUUGCUUUUGAUUAUGAAUAGAGGUGAAGCCUAUAAUUUUUUUACUUCUAAACGAUAAUAUCAAAAUAUUUUAUACUAUGUUGACAUGUUGAAUGCUUCUUAUUCAUUAAUGUAAGUUAGAUAUCUUGGUUGUGAUCAUCAACUUUUUGGAUUUUGAAGGUGGUGUGUUAAUUAGAGGAUUGUUAUGUUAAGCGCAAUAUCAUGGUAUUAAACUUACAAUAUUCGGUGUGGCGCCCCCAAACCCUCAUUCGUUGAAUUGAGGUCUACAUGGUAUCCACACUAGACAUAAGUGUGACAAAUAUCAUACAUAAUAAUAAUGCUAACUUAUUGUGAUCAAUGGGUAUAUAUCCAGCCCACAGAUUCAAGAAUCCUUCUACUCUCACUCUUUUAUACAAUGUUUCUAAAUACAAAUUAUUAUAUAUAUUACAAAGCCUGAGAAUUAAGGUAACAACCACGCGGCAGUAGAUCUAGUCCGAUCAACGAGUCCAGGGAUAUUCAUAGAAGUGAAAACUAUAUAUCAAGUGACAUGAUCGACAAAUAUGUCACUUAACUUCAUAUUAGGUGGCUUUCUUGAACAAAAGAAACUAACCUAUAUCAAGAAAAUGGUGGAAUGCUUUGAACAAUAAAACACCUUUGAAUUUUAAAAAGGAACUAUAAUAUCAUUUGCUAUCUUGAAUGGUAAAAUAAUGAUUCUCUAAAAUAAUAUCCAAAAGAAAGAAUGUUGAAACAAGGUGAUCAAUGAUAACUUAGAUAUAUAAGUAUGCCAUUUGAAAUCAAACGAGAUCUUACAUGAAUGAUCACCGGUACAAAUCAUCAACCUACACACUGCAAUUUACAUGAUUCACAAGAACUAGGGAUGGCAACGGGUCGGAUCGGUUCGGAUAUCUGUGAUAUCCAAACCCGAACCCGAAAAUUUUCACCAAACCCGAACCCGAUCCGAACCCGUUUGGAUUUGAAAAACAAAACCCGAACCCGAUCCAACGGAUUUCGGAUCGGGUUCGGGUUUUAUCCAAACCCGAAUUUCUGCACGACUGCGACCACGGAGCUCCGACCAGGGGCGAUGCGCGGCACCGUGGUGGGGCUGGGUUCGGUGAACCGAGUUGGUGUUUUGAUGAUGGGUGUUUAAGGAGUGAAGAACGAACAGAGUGUAAAUGAGGAUUGUUUUGGGUGAUGGUUGAGUAUUGUUUUGUUGGUUCGAUUGUUUGUGGUAGGGGCUGAAGUUUUGAGCAGGUGAGGGGAAAGUUCAAAGAUAUGUUAGAAAUCGGCAAGUGGGUGUUUUGCAGCUAUUUGGGGGUGGGAUUGUGGCGAUGAUAACUGAAGGCAGCGAUUAGCCGCGGAAGUAGUAAUUGCAGGAUUAGUUGAAAAUAAG
rnacentral:lncRNA from 1 species